rnacentral:rRNA from 4 species
CUGACCUCAAAUCAGGUAGGACUACCCGCUGAACUUAAGCAUAUC